AUCUAUUAUCUUCUUCAGGUUAACCCAGCAAAAUAUGAAGACAUAAACACAAAGGAGGGAUGUCGAGAACACAAACAUGAAGAAGAAUCUGUAGUUUCUCUGCACAGCAGAAAAAUAUCACAUGAAAGGGAAAGGAAAAGAUUGAAGAAGACUAAUCUGCAAGUAUUUUAAAUUUUAUGUAAAUGUUUAUUCUAUGUUUGAGGUCUACUUUUGAGGUUAGUAAACAAUUUUAAUAUUGUAUUACUUUGAAUUUGUUUGGUUUUUCUUAGUUGCUCUGUACUAGAUUUUGGAUGAAACUUGGGAAUUGUUACAUGCUUCCUUUAUUGUAUUAGAUGAAGUUUAUAUGAUCUUUUAUAUAAAGUGGAAAUGUAAUGA